AGAACGAACGCUGGCGGCAUGCCUAAUACAUGCAAGUCGAACGAACACUUCGGUGUUAGUGGCGCACGGGUGCGUAACGCGUGGGAAUCUGCCCUUGGGUUCGGAAUAACAGUUGGAAACGACUGCUAAUACCGGAUGAUAUCGAAAGAUCAAAGAUUUAUCGCCCAGGGA
rnacentral:rRNA from 1 species